rnacentral:rRNA from 2 species
ACGGAAGGCAGCAGUGAGGAAUAUUGGUCAAUGGGCGGAAGCCUGAACCAGCCAAGUCGCGUGAAGGAUGAAGGUAUUAUGUAUUGUAAACUUCUUUAGCCAGGGGGCAAUAAGGCGUACGCGUACGCCGAUGAGGGUACCUGGAGAAUAAGGAUCGGCUAACUCCGUGCCAGCAGCCGCGGUAAUACGGAGGAUCCGAGCGUUAUCCGGAUUUAUUGGGUUUAAAGGGUGCGCAGGCGGCUUUUUAAGUCAGUGGUUAAAUCGUGACGCUCAACGUCAUCACGCCAUUGAUACUGGAGAGCUUGAUUGCGGUCGAGGUUUGCGGAAUUCGUCGUGUAGCGGUGAAAUGCAUAGAUAUGACGAAGAACACCGAUUGCGUAGGCAGCAGACCAGGCCGUAAAUGACGCUCAUGCACGAAAGUGCGGGGAUCGAACAGGAUUAGAUACCCUGGUA